AUUAUCUCCUGGUAUUCUGACAAUUAACAACUUUUAAUAUUUUCUCUUGGUUGAUUUUAUUCUGGAACUACAAUUCCCAGAAUGCAUCUGUAUGAGGUUGCCAACUGCUCCUGUAUUGUCUGGGAGUCUCUGAGAUUGACAUCAUUCUGGACAUAUUUUUCCAAUCUUUAUUUUCCCCAUCACCAUUCCCUUUUUUUUGUACAAAGAGACGUUUUCCAUUUAGUCUCUCCUGAUCACCAGGAGACCUAUAUUAGAUUUCUCCUUUGCAUUCUAACCUGGCUUUAAAGUCCAGUUUGAUGAGUCUCCCUUUUUUCCCUCCUCAAAUUCUGAACAAAAGUCUUCAGUCUCGAAAUGUUAACAUAAAAACAUAAUUAUUUUUUAAAAUCACAUUUGCUGGGUUGACUGAUGGCAGCAUUUAUUGGCUAUCCACGUUGCUGUGGGUCUGGAGUCACAUGCAAGCCAGACCAGAUUUAAUCUCCAUUGGGGCAUGAAUCUGCACAGCUGUGUUAAUAUAAUUAUGUUUUCAAUUUAAUUUUGUGUCAGGGGAUAGAGGACCUCAUUUAAUGUGGAUAUUGUUCCCAGAAAAGGCGGAGAGGAGAUUUGAUUAAGCCGCUUAAAAUCAAGAGGAAUCUGGACACAGCAGUUUUAGCUACUUUCCACUCAACCUGUUUAUAGAUGUUAUUAACAAGCAGGUGGGACUUGAACCCAGUUGCCAUUCCACCUUAACAGCCCCUCACUAAGAGUAAUUGGAGACUUCCAUUGCAGAAGAAUUGAGAACCAGAUGAUACCACUUUAAGGUGAUUGGAAAAAGAACAAGAGGUGACGAGAGACAAUUUUCUUUCAAAUGCAGUGAGUGAAAUUUGCAAGAAUGAUUCCAAAGAAGAAAGUGCUCAUAAAUGUGGGAAGAUUGUAGAAGCUAGGUCUGUUCUCUUUAGCCUGUAGGAGUUUAAAGGGAAAUCUGAUAGAGGUGUUCAAAAUCAUGAGUCCAGACAUAAUAACUAUGAAGAGAAACUAUUCCUAUUGAUGGAAGGCACAUGUGCAAGAGGACCCUGAUUUAAGGGAUCAGGAUGUUGUUGGCUAAGGGAGCAAUUUAUUGACCAUCCCUAAUUGCCCAGAGGACAGUUAAGAGUCAACCACAUUACUCUGGGUCUGAAGUCACACGUGGGCCAAACCAGACAUCCAGAUCCUGCAAAGAAGUUGUAAGAUUGGUGUCUCUUAGAACUGAAUGGCCAAUGAAGGGUCAACCACAUAGAUGCAACUCCAGACCUACAGCAAAGUUAGACCAGGUAAGGAUGGCAGGAUUCCCCUCCCUGUGAACAAGUGAAAAAUUGACAAGUUUCAUGAAUGGGACUAAUUUUAAAUUUGAAUCUCACCACUUAUGGUAGGCUUUGAACUAGUGCCCUCAGGUCUAUUAUUAGCCCACUGAA